rnacentral:lncRNA from 1 species
AUUCACCGUGCAUGUCAUAUAAUGAAAGGGAUACCUUCAGUUAGAGGCUUUGGAAGCACGUUAAUUCGUUGUCCAAAAAGAUAAACAGAAGAAGUAGCUCCCUAUGCCAUCGGAUUCCUAGAACAGUCCCCUCGACAGAAUAAUCCAUCAUCAUACAAAAUUCCCAAAUGGGAUAAAGAUUAACAAGCCAAUCCUAGUGAUGGAUCAAAACAAUACGGUCUAACUGUAGACACCCUGACCCUGUGCAGCAGGAUGAGUACACAUAGUAAGAUGAUGACACGGACAAUAACCUGACAGUUUGCCAUAGGAGCGGCAUGGGACAAGACGGCCCAUCGUAAAUGACCUCAAAUCCGUCAACUCGGAGCACCUUCUAUUCAGUUGGGAGUAGAAAAACAACAUCAAUAAGAUAAAUUCUGAAAUUUGAUGGAGGAAGAAUUGGCGAAAGAGGGAAGAGAGAAGAUGAGGUAUCAACCUGCCAAAGUAAGGUGGAGGUGGGGA